GACGAACGCUGGCGGCAUGCCUAAUACAUGCAAGUCGAGCGAACAGAUGAAGUGCUUGCACUUCUGACGUUAGCGGCGAACGGGUGAGUAACACGUAAGGAAUCUACCUAUAAGCGGGGGAUAACAUUCGGAAACGGGUGCUAAUACCGCAUAAUAUCUUCUUCCGCAUGGAAGAAGAUUGAAAGACGGCUCUGCUGUCACUUAUAGAUGACCUUGCGGUGCAUUAGUUAGUUGGUUGGGUAACGGCCUACCAAGACGAUGAUGCAUAGCCGAGCUGAGAGGGAGAUCGGCCACAUUGGGACUGAGACACCGCCCAAACUCCUACGUGAGGCAGCAGUAGGGAAUCUUCCGCAAUGGGCGAAAGCCUGACGGAGCAAUACCGCGUGAGUGAAGAAGGCCUUCGGGUCGUAAAACUCUGUUAUAAGAGAAGAACAAAUUGUAGAGUAACUGCUACAGUCUUGACGGUAUCUUAUCAGAAAGCCACGGCUAACUACGUGCCAGCCGCCGCAGUAA
rnacentral:rRNA from 1 species